rnacentral:misc_RNA from 1 species
AUAGAGAAAAUUGAAGAAUAGGCUUAUGGAGUAUGGAUGAGUCCACUAGCCUAGCCCAUAACCAAUAUUCUCAUGCCCAAAUUUUAGUUCUUAAGAUUGAAGGUUGUUAUUAAUGAGUUUCAAAAGUAGGAAAUGUGAGAUUUUAGGUAAGUUGAGAACUAGAACUCAAUAUUUCAAAAGAAAUAAGGAGUAGCUUAAGUAAAGUAGCUAGAAGAAAUUCUAUAAAAAUACCAACACAAAAUUGACAUGAUAAUGAGAGUGUUUAGUAUAAAAGCAUAAAACAGAAAAAGGGUUCUGUUAUACUUUUAAUAAUGGAGUAUCACAAAGUUGUUUAGAUCUUUUUAGGGCAAAAAGUCAUUGCCGCUAAUAUUUACUGCUAAUAUAAGAACUCAAAGGUAUGUAAAAGUAGAAAAUGGAUUAUAUCAGGGUAAUAAAAAGGUCAGAAAUGAUAGGAAGGAUGGUUGCCUUCGAUGUCUCCUAGUUGUCUACAAGCUACAAAUAAAUUUGCCAACAUUCUGUAGUACUAAUGAAUUUUAUAUGGGCCAUUUGCAGGCCGCAAAGCCAAAGCAUCCCCCA